rnacentral:rRNA from 1 species
AACGAACGCUGGCGGCAGGCUUAACACAUGCAAGUCGAACGCAUCCUUCGGGGUGAGUGGCAGACGGGUGAGUAACGCGUGGGAACGUGCCCUUCAGUUCGGGAUAACCCAGGGAAACUUGGGCUAAUACCGGAUACGUGCGAGAGCAGAAAGAUUUAUCGCUGAAGGAUCGGCCCGCGUCUGAUUAGCUAGUUGGUGGGGUAAUGGCCUACCAAGGCGACGAUCAGUAGCUGGUCUGAGAGGAUGAUCAGCCACAUUGGGACGGAGACACGGCCCAAACUCCUACGGGAGGCAGCAGUGGGGAAUAUUGGACAAUGGGCGCAAGCCUGAUCCAGCCAUGCCGCGUGAGUGAUGAAGGCCUUAGGGUUGUAAAGCUCUUUCGUCCGGGACGAUAAUGACGGUACCGGAAGAAGAAGCCACGGCUAACUACGUGCCAGCCGCCGCGGUAA